rnacentral:rRNA from 1 species
UACGUAGGGUGCAAGCGUUCAUCGGAAUUACUGGGCGUAAAGCGUGCGCAGGCGGCUUUGCAAGACAGAUGUGAAAUCCCCGGGCUCAACCUGGGAACUGCAUUUGUGACUGCAAGGCUAGAGUACGGUAGAGGGGGAUGGAAUUCCGCGUGUAGCAGUGAAAUGCGUAGAUAUGCGGAGGAACACCGAUGGCGAAGGCAAUCCCCUGGACCUGUACUGACGCUCAUGCACGAAAGCGUGGGGAGCAAACAGG